GACGAACGCUGGCGGCGGGCUUAACACAUGCAAGUCGAACGAACGCCUUCGGGCGUUAGUGGCGCACGGGUGAGUAACACGUAGGCAAUCUACCCUCGGCUGGGGAAUAACCAGGGGAAACCCUGGCUAAUACCGCAUAACAUCUGGACGUCGCCUGGCGACCAGAUCAAAGCUUUAUGUGGCCGAGGAUGAGCCUGCGUCGGAUUAGCUAGUUGGUGGGUAACGGCCUACCAAGGCGACGAUCCGUAGCGGGUCUGAGAGGAUGAUCCGCCACACUGGCACUGAGACACGGGCCAGACUCCUACGGGAGGCAGCAGUGAGGAAUAUUGCGCAAUGGACGAAAGUCUGACGCAGCCACGCCGCGUGCAGGAAGACACCCC
rnacentral:rRNA from 1 species